ensembl:snRNA U6 U6 spliceosomal RNA
GUGGAAAGUAAUAUGGGUGCACAUAUACUAAAAUUGGAAUGAUGCAGAGAAGAUAAGAAUGGCCUCUGUGCAAGGAUAACACAUAUUUGUAAAGCAUUCCAUAUUUUU